GGCAUCCUACGGGAGGCAGCAGUAGGGAAUAUUGCUCAAUGGGGGAAACCCUGAAGCAGCAACGCCGCGUGGAGGAUGAAGGUUUUAGGAUUGUAAACUCCUUUUGUGAGAGAAGAUAAUGACGGUAUCUCACGAAUAAACACCGGCUAACUCCGUGCCAGCAGCCGCGGUAAUACGGAGGGUGCAAGCGUUACUCGGAAUCACUGGGCGUAAAGAGUGCGCAGGCGGGCUUGUAAGUCAGAUGUGAAAUCCUGUCACUUAACUACAGAACUGCAUUUGAAACUAUGAGUCUAGAGGGAGGGAGG
rnacentral:rRNA from 1 species